CUGGGCUCCCAAUGGGUUACUUGCUUAAUUGCAAGAGGAAAGUCCGGGCAUGUGCAGUAAAGGUAGCUGUUAACGGCAGCCGCUUUGUUUGAAAAAACAAGGAAGGGAAAGUGCCACAGAGACAAUACUAGCCGAGGUCAAUUUGACCAAGGUGAAAGGUGAAAAGCCCUGUGAUACACGGGGGCUUCUACGGUAACGUAGAAUCGCUGGUAAACCCUACCGCAUGCAAGGUAGGAUGGGAUGAUCGGAAUAAUUUGUACUGCCAAACCGAUUGUGCCUACCGCUCGAUCUUAUAAGCGAUUAUAAGACUAGAUAGAUGACCCUUAAUACAGAACCCGGCUUAUUCGGAGCCCACUCUA
rnacentral:RNase_P_RNA from 1 species